rnacentral:rRNA from 1 species
CCUACGGGUGGCAGCAGUGGGGAAUAUUGGACAAUGGGGGCAACCCUGAUCCAGCCAUGCCGCGUGUGUGAAGAAGGCCCUCGGGUUGUAAAGCACUUUCAGUGAGGAAGAACGCCUGGUGGUUAAUACCCAUCAGGAAAGACAUCACUCACAGAAGAAGCACCGGCUAACUCCGUGCCAGCAGCCGCGGUAAUACGGAGGGUGCGAGCGUUAAUCGGAAUUACUGGGCGUAAAGCGCGCGUAGGUGGCUUGAUAAGCCGGUUGUGAAAGCCCCGGGCUCAACCUGGGAACGGCAUCCGGAACUGUCAAGCUAGAGUGCAGGAGAGGAAGGUGGAAUUCCCGGUGUAGCGGUGAAAUGCGUAGAGAUCGGGAGGAAUACCAGUGGCGAAGGCGGCCUUCUGGACUGACACUGACACUGAGGUGCGAAAGCGUGGGUAGCAAACAGGAUUAGAUACCCCUGUAGUC